UACGAAGGGGGCUAGCGUUGCUCGGAAUGACUGGGCGUAAAGGGCGCGUAGGCGGCGAUCAAAGUCAGGCGUGAAAUUCCUGGGCUCAACCUGGGGGCUGCGCUUGAUACUUGGUUGCUUGAGUGGGGAAGAGGGUCGUGGAAUUCCCAGUGUAGAGGUGAAAUUCGUAGAUAUUGGGAAGAACACCGGUGGCGAAGGCGGCGACCUGGUCCUUUACUGACGCUGAGGCGCGAAAGCGUGGGGAGCAAACAGG
rnacentral:rRNA from 1 species